rnacentral:rRNA from 1 species
ACACAUGCAGUCGAACGGUAACAGGAAGCAGCUUGCUGCUUCGCUGACGAGUGGCGGACGGGUGAGUAAUGUCUGGGAAACUGCCUGAUGGAGGGGGAUAACUACUGGAAACGGUAGCUAAUACCGCAUAACGUCGCAAGACCAAAGAGGGGGACCUUCGGGCCUCUUGCCAUCGGAUGUGCCCAGAUGGGAUUAGCUAGUAGGUGGGGUAACGGCUCACCUAGGCGACGAUCCCUAGCUGGUCUGAGAGGAUGACCAGCCACACUGGAACUGAGACACGGUCCAGACUCCUACGGGAGGCAGCAGUGGGGAAUAUUGCACAAUGGGCGCAAGCCUGAUGCAGCCAUGCCGCGUGUAUGAAGAAGGCCUUCGGGUUGUAAAGUACUUUCAGCGGGGAGGAAGGCGAUAAGGUUAAUAACCUUGUCGAUUGACGUUACCCGCAGAAGAAGCACCGGCUAACUCCGUGCCAGCAGCCGCGGUAAUACGGAGGGUGCAAGCGUUAAUCGGAAUUACUGGGCGUAAAGCGCACGCAGGCGGUCUGUCAAGUCCGAUGUGAAAUCCCCGGGCUC